rnacentral:ncRNA from 1 species
AUAAGAUAAAGCCAAACCUGCCGGACGACGGGGACGGAAAGCUACGGGUCUAUCGGAUAGCCGGGCUGCCUUA